rnacentral:rRNA from 1 species
AUUGAACGCUGGCGGAAUGCUUUACACAUGCAAGUCGAACGGCAGCACGGACUUCGGUCUGGUGGCGAGUGGCGAACGGGUGAGUAAUGUAUCGGAACGUGCCCAGUCGUGGGGGAUAACGUAGUGAAAAUUACGCUAAUACCGCAUACGAUCUAUGGAUGAAAGCGGGGGAUCGCAAGACCUCGCGCGAUUGGGGCGGCCGAUAUCAGAUUAGGUAGGUGGUGGGGUAAAGGGCCACCAAGCCAAAGAACUGUAGCUGGUCUGAGAGGACGACCAGGCACACAGGAACUGAGACGCAGUCCAGACACCUCCGGGAGGCAGCAGUGAGGAAUUUUGGACAAUGGGGGCGAGCCUGAUCCAGCCAUUCAGCGUGCAGGACGAAAGCCUUCGGGUUGUAAACUGCUUUUGUACGGAACGAAAAGGCUCUGGUUAAUACCUGGGGCUCAUGACGGUACCGUAAGAAUAAGCACCGGCUAACUACGUGCCAGCAGCCGCCGUAA